GAUGAACGCUGGCGGCGUGCCUAAUACAUGCAAGUCGAGCGAACGGACGAGAAGCUUGCUUCGCUGAUGUUAGCGGCGGACGGGUGAGUAACACGUGGAUACCCUACCUAUAAGACUGGGAUAACUUCGGGAAACCGGAGCUAAUACCGGAUAAGAUUUUGAACCGCAGGGUUCAAAAGUGAAAGACGGUCUUGCUGUCACGUAUAGAUGGAUCCGCGCUGCAUUAGCUAGUUGGUAAGGUAACGGCUUACGAAGGCAACGAUGCAUAGCCGACCUGAGAGGGGGAUCGGCCGCACUGGAACUGAGCCACGGACCAGGCUCCUACGGGAGGCAGCAGUAGGCAAUCUUCCGCAAUGGGCGAAAGUCUGACGGAGCAGCGCCACGUGAGUGAUGACGGUCCUCGGAGCGUAAAACUCUGUUAUUAGGGAAGAACAUAUGUGUACGUAACUGUGCACAUCUUGACGGUAAUUAAUCAGAAAGCAACGGCUAACUACGUG
rnacentral:rRNA from 1 species